GUGCUUUCUUCAGUGACACAUAUACUAAAAUUGGAACGAUACAAAGAUGAUUAGCAUGACCCCUACACAAAGAUGACACACAAAUUUGUGAAGCAGUCCAUAUUUUU